rnacentral:rRNA from 1 species
GACGAACGCUGGCGGCGUGCUUAACACAUGCAAGUCGAACGGAAAGGCCCUGCUUUUGUGGGGUUCUCGAGUGGCGAACGGGUGAGUAACACGUGAGUAACCUGCCCUUGACUUUGGGAUAACUUCAGGAAACUGGGGUUAAUACCGGAUAGCAGCUCCUGCUGCAUUGUGGGGGUUGGAAAGUUUCGGCGGUUGGGGAUGGACUCGCGGCUAAUCAGCUUGUUGGUGGGGUAGUUGCUUACCAAGGCUUUGACGGGUAGCCGGCCUGAGAGGGUGACCGGCCACAUUGGGACUGAGAGACGGCCCAGACUCCUACGGGAGGCAGCAGUGGGGAAUCUGGCACAAUGGGCGGAAGCCUGAUGCAGCAACGCCGCGUGCGGGAUGACGGCCUUCGGGUUGUAAACCGCUUUCGCCUGUGACGAAGCGUGAGUGACGGUAAUGGGUAAAGAAGCACCGGCUAACUACGUG